rnacentral:lncRNA from 1 species
GGGGGACUACUACUGGCACCUGGUGCCUGGAGAGAACCUUCUGAACAGCCCGAAAGCACUAGGCAGCCCCCACCACACAAUGAGGCAGCAACCAGAUUCAACAGCGUCGAGGCCGAGAACCCUCCAGCAGCCCCUUCAGCUGGAAGAGCAGUUUCCUGAAGUGAGCUGGCUCCGCUGGACAGAGAGUGUGUGUUUUGCUUGGCGGCUGUUCAUAAUGCGUCUUGGCAGCGUUUCCUUGGACGGCAAGCUGAACCUGGCCUUCGCUUACAGUAGCACUUUCGUUUUAAGCGCUCUAGCCACGCUUCCCUAAUAACAGCCUGGGAACUGCAAAACCCCCCGUAAGCCCAGCCCUUUAACUGGGGAACAGAGCAGGGCUUCCGCCCUCCACAAGCGGCAUUGUAAACUGGCUGGUGCUUUCAAUAAAAAAAAAAAACGUGGCUCUCUUUAAAGGGCGGAAAUAAAAACGACACAGCAGGUUCCAUUCCCGGGACAGGAG